GAUGAACGCUGGCGGCGUGCCUAAUACAUGCAAGUCGAGCGAACAGACCAGGAGCUUGCUCCUCUGACGUUAUCGGCGGUCGGGAGAUUAACCCGUGUAUAACCUACCUAUAAGACUGGGAUAACUUCGGGAAACCGGCGCUAAUACCGGAAAAUAUAUUGCACCGAAUUGAUCCAUAGUGAAAGUCGGUUUUGCUGUCACUUAUAGAUGGAUCAGCGCCGCAUUAGUUGGUUGGUAAGGUAACGGCUUACCAAGGCGACGACUCGUACCCGACCUAAACGGGUGAUCGGCCAGACGGGAACUGAGACAGAGCCCAGACACCGACGGUGAGCAGCAGUAGGGAAUCCUCCGCGAUGGACGAGAGCUUGACGUAGCACAGCCGCGUGAGUGAUGAAGGUCUUCGGAUCGGAAAGCGCUGUUAGUAGGGAGGAACAAAUGUGUAAGUAACUAUGCAGGUCUUGACGGUACCUAAAGAGAAAGCCACGGCUAACUACGUG
rnacentral:rRNA from 1 species